AUUGAACGCUGGCGGCAGGCCUAACACAUGCAAGUCGAGCGAGCGGCGGACGGGUGGGUAAUGUAUGGGGAUCUGCCUGAUGGAGGGGUAUAACUACUGGAAACGGUAGCUAAUACCGCAUACCAUCAGAUGAACCCAUAUGGGAUUAGCUUGUCGGUAAGGUAACGGCUUACCAAGGCGACGAUCCCUAGCUGGUCUGAGAGGAUGAUCAGCCACACUGGGACUGAGACACGGCCCAGACUCCUACGGGAGGCAGCAGUGGGGAAUAUUGCACAAUGGGCGAAAGCCUGACCGAGCAAUGCCGCGUGUAUGAAGAAGGCUUUCGGGUUGUAAAGUUCUGUCAGUAGGGAGGCGUUACCUACAGAAGAAGCAACGGCUAACUCCGUGCCAGCAGCCGCGGUAAUAC
rnacentral:rRNA from 1 species